AGACAGCACCCAAACCCCCGGGGCCCGGCCCCCGCCCCGCCAGGGAGCAGCGAUGGCGCGGCCUCCCCGGAGCUGCGGUGCCCCGGCUGCAGCGGCCGCCCCGCGCCCGUCCCCCGAGCUCCCGUCGUGGCCCCUGCAGCUGCGCUCCCUCACGGACCCUGGGCCUCGGCUCCUCGCGUUUGCUUCCCUGCUUCCUCGGGACAGCCCUCUCUACUUCCACAGACCCGUUCCCAUGGCCUUCCAAAAUCCCCUGCCACCGGCUGCGUGCUCUUCCAUCAUUUCCUUCCCCCAGCCGCCUCGCUUCUGCUUCACAGAAUCACGGGAUCAAUUAGAUGAGAUUGUUCCUUCACUAUGUCAGCACUAUACCAGACAAUGGCUCCUUGCUAAGCCAGGCCGCAUUUCUCACUCCACAGAUGGCAGAAGUUACUCAUCCAUCAAGUUUAAGCCAGGCCAAGAAGAAAUCAAAUCAGAACAUGAGUGGAGAGAAAAUAAAGCUUUCUUCAGAGGAAGUUGCCUAGAGAUGACUUCUAACAAUUCAAAUGCUGCUAUGAUCCUAAAGGACUGGAAAAGUAUCUAG
rnacentral:lncRNA from 1 species